UACUCUCACACUCUCUGAUCCUUUGGAUUUGGGGAGCGGUGGACUUGGGUGCUUGCUGCUUCCUUGUGGCUCACCUGAAAUGCAUCAGUGCAUCUCUUGAUUGGACAUAGUACGGCGUGAUAAGUGUCUUCGCCGGCACCUCAUAAGAGGGUGGCUGAUCGGGAGCUCUGUGCUUUCAAACCGUCUUCGGACAACCCUUGACA
rnacentral:misc_RNA from 1 species